rnacentral:rRNA from 1 species
CCUACGGGAGGCAGCAGUGGGGAAUCUUGCGCAAUGGGCGAAAGCCUGACGCAGCCAUGCCGCGUGUAUGAUGAAGGUCUUAGGAUUGUAAAAUACUUUCACCGGUGAAGAUAAUGACUGUAGCCGGAGAAGAAGCCCCGGCUAACUUCGUGCCAGCAGCCGCGGUAAUACGAAGGGGGCUAGCGUUGCUCGGAAUUACUGGGCGUAAAGGGAGCGUAGGCGGACAUUUAAGUCAGAGGUGAAAUCCCGGAGCUUAACUUCGGAACUGCCUUUGAUACUGGGUGUCUUGAGUGUGAGAGAGGUAUGUGGAACUCCGAGUGUAGAGGUGAAAUUCGUAGAUAUUCGGAAGAACACCAGUGGCGAAGGCGACAUACUGGCUCAUUACUGACGCUGAGGCUCGAAAGCGUGGGGAGCAAACAGGAUUAGAUACCCUGGUAGUCCACGCCGUAAACGAUGAUUGCUAGUUGUCGGGAAGCUUGCUUCUCGGUGACGCAGCUAACGCAUUAAGCAAUCCGCCGNGGAGUACGGUCGCAGAUAAACUACAANAGAUAGAGCGNGAGAGUGCGACGACGACGACGAGGGAGAGG